GCCCUAAGUGGCUCCUAACUUGUGUCUGACGAACUUGGCCUUCCUCCAGUGACUGUGACUUGAAUUACAUCAACCUACCCUGUCCAUUCUAGGAACAGAAACUCUAAGCUCUAGCUCUACUCCUGCCCUAAGUGGCUCCUAACUUGUGUCUGACGAACUUGGCCUUCCUCCAGUGACUGUGACUUGAAUUACAUCAACCUACCCUGUCCAUUCUAGGAACAGAAACUCUAAGCUCUAGCUCUACUCCUGCCCUAAGUGGCUCCUAACUUGUGUCUGACGAACUUGGCCUUCCUCCAGUGACUGUGACUUGAAUUACAUCAACCUACCCUGUCCAUUCUAGGAACAGAAACUCUAAGCUCUAGCUCUACUCCUGCCCUAAGUGGCUCCUAACUUGUGUCUGACGAACUUGGCCUUCCUCCAGUGACUGUGACUUGAAUUACAUCAACCUACCCUGUCCAUUCUAGGAACAGAAACUCUAAGCUCUAGCUCUACUCCUGCCCUAAGUGGCUCCUAACUUGUGUCUGACGAACUUGGCCUUCCUCCAGUGACUGUGACUUGAAUUACAUCAACCUACCCUGUCCAUUCUAGGAACAGAAACUCUAAGCUCUAGCUCUACUCCUGCCCUAAGUGGCUCCUAACUUGUGUCUGACGAACUUGGCCUUCCUCCAGUGACUGUGACUUGAAUUACAUCAAGCUACCCUGUCCAUUCUAGGAACAGAAACUCUAAGCUCUAGCUCUACUCCUGCCCUAAGUGGCUCCUAACUUGUGUCUGACGAACUUGGCCUUCCUCCAGUGACUGUGACUUGAAUUACAUCAACCUACCCUGUCCAUUCUAGGAACAGAAAGUAUGUUUGGGCUCCAAUAUUGUUGAUGUGUUUGACUCCCAUUGGGUCCCCUAAAAGAGUUAACAACUGCUAGUUCUCCAGCCUCAAACAGCCAGCUACCUCUCGCUCCUUACCUCCCCCCCUUUUUUUCUGUACUCACUUCUCAUCCAGCUAC